rnacentral:rRNA from 1 species
GACGAACGCUGGCGGCGUGCUUAACACAUGCAAGUCGAGCGAUGAAGUUUUUUCGGAAAUGGAUUAGCGGCGAACGGGUGAGGAACACGUGAAGAAUCUGCCCUCCACUUUGGGAUAACACAGGGAAACCUGUGCUAAUACCGAAUAUUGAAACAUAAGUGGCAUCACUGAGUUUUGAAAGAAUUUCGGUGGAGGAUGACUUCGCGGCCUAUCAGCUAGUUGGUGAGGUAAUGGCUCACCAAGGCAACGACGGGUAGCCGGCCUGAGAGGGCGACCGGCCACACUGGGACUGAGACACGGCCCAGACUCCUACGGGAGGCAGGAGUGGGGAAUAUUGGGCAAUGGAGGAAACUCUGACCCAGCGACGCCGCGUGCGGGAUGUAGGCCUUCGGGUUGUAAACCGCUUUCAGUAGGGAAGAAGCGAAAGUGACGGUACCUACAAAAGAAGCACCGGCUAACUAUGUGCCAGCCGCCGCGGUAA